UUAUGGGUCAGUCGAUGGCGUUUCGUGGUCGAAUCGAAGAGAGCGACACUAGGUAGGAGCGAGGCUCCCCGAAGAAGACGCGCUCGAAUUCCCUGGGUUAGCGACUCUGGACUAGGCUACGUGCCGGGUAUUCGUGCCGACAAAAAUAACGUGCUUUCUGCGUGUGUGCACUGGCCGAAAGAGAGAAGGAGCGAGGGAGAGAAUCUCCUCUGGCCAUCGCGACACACGGAACAAGAUUGCGAAAAUACGGAAAUCGCGGAACUGACCUGUCCUCGGGGAUGGACCAGCUCGUCCAAUUAAUAAUAUUGGCAGAGGAUUACCUUCGACGAUGCACUCCAUCCGAUGAGAAGAUCCUUCCACCGCCACCGAUGCCACUAAUUCUUUCACGAAAACCGGUGGACUCGGUUGUUCUUCCGGUGCCGUUUCUAAAAAUUCGACA
rnacentral:misc_RNA from 1 species